CACGUUACCGGUAGGCGCCGGCUGCCAGCCUCCCUCCGGGUCCGCCCUUUUAGACCCGCGCUGCCCUCUAGCCGGGGCGGCUGGGCUUCCUGAGCCCCUGGAUGUGGGGGAGCUGGAGAGGCAGGGCCACCCCUUGCAGCCGCCAGUCAACGUUUCAAACUAAAGUCUCACGGUCAGUGCCAAUUCCAGCCACCACCAAAGUUCAAACACCUACCGUUCAAAGGAACAGAAAGCCGCCAGCGCUAAAAAAAAAAAAAAAAAUCCGGAAGAAAAAACAACCCCAAAUGAUGGGGCCAGUUCUUGAAUAUAGAUGCCCUAGGAAAAAAGGCUUGAAAUACCUUUUGGCCCCAAAGCUGGGAGGCCUUUGGAUUCAGACUGAAUUAUACCACCAGCUUUCCUGGGUUUUCAGCUGGAAGACAGCAGAUCGUGGGACUUCUUGGCCUCCAGAAUCAUCAACUGUAUAAACAGAAUGGGUGCCAAUUAUUUAUAAACACAUAAAUAAAGUGACCGUGGUAGAUUGUCUGCAAAGAUGGUUGCUGGCCAUUCCUCCCAUCCCUAUGGGUGCAUGAAGCUCCUCCUCUCAAGAGAUGGAGUCUAUUUCCUCACUUCUCGAAGGCUGGCCUUUGACUUGCUUUGACCACGAGAACAUGGUGGCAAUACUAUCCCAGAACUUCCAAGCUGAGGCCUGGAAGUUUACACUUUAGCUAGAGGGAAUACCAUCUGCUGUGUCAAGAAGUCCAGGGAUUCCUGCUGGAGAAAGAAGCCAAUGGGAGGGGACUCCAGGAACUCAGCUGACAGCCAGAAGGCCCCGGAGACAUGAGGGAGUCCAGCCAACACCACAAGAAAAGAGGCCCAGCUGUCCUAUGCAGUCCCCAGUUGUUCAAGCCAUUUCGGCUAAAGCACCAGCCCUGUGAGUGAGGCCAUCGUGGGUCUUUCAGCGCCUCGUGAACCCACCCCAGCUAACACCACAUGGAACACGGAAGAACUGUCCCUCUGUGCCCGGCCCUAAUUCCUGACCCACACACUCAUGAGCAAAUAAAAUGGUUGUUAUUUUAAGCCA